AUGGCCAUGGCUUUGGCAAUAUUCAAUGAAUAUGCGGGGGUGCUUUCCAACGUCAAUGCAUGUCGCGAAUUCUUCAGCUGGACUGCAUCAGUUAUAACGGCCACUCGUUCUUCACGGAACACCUCAGAGUUGCCAGGUGAAGACAAGACAGCUGCCCAACAACAGACUGAAGAGGAAAUUGAGCGGCUGAAGGAUGAUCUUUGGAAGCUGGAGACAACAAUGCCCAAGAUGCUUGACCUCAUUGAUCGGGUCGAAUACCAAAGCCAUAAGAAACAAGCGGCUGAUCUCCUCCCGCAUAUCAAGGAUGCAGUCUUCGAAGCGGAGGACCUGCUUGACGAGCUUGAUUAUGAUGCACUCAAGUGGAAAGUUGAGUGCAGCAAGAAUUUGGGGCUAGACCAAUUGCGUGAUACUUGUCUGGAAUUCUACGGCAGUGUCAGAUCUAAUGAUUACAUCAGAAAAGUCAACAGAAUUCAAAAAAAUCUAGAUCAUGUCCAUAAGCAGUCCAUGGAAAUGGGCUUGCACCAAGCACCUCUAAAGUUUGAUAAAUCAGUUAGGCCAGAAACAACUUCCUACUUUAACUGUGAAGAAAAAAUGAUUGGCCGUGAAAAAGAAAUGAAGGAGUUUGUGGGAAAACUAGGAGUUCAUUCACGGAAGAGAGGAAGGACUGAAAGCAAAGCAAGAAUGACCCAGUUGCAUGUGUUUUCCAUUGUUGGGAUGGGAGGGGUUGGAAAGACAACUAUGGCCCAACACAUUUGCAAGGAUACAAAUGUGAAGAAUCACUUUGGCGCCAAAAAUAUAAUUUGGACAUGUGUUUCAGAUGACUUUGACAUAAAACGGUUAACGAAAGACAUUGUAGAGCGCCUGGGAGGAGAUGCUUCAUCUAAUAGUCUGGAAGUUCUUAUGGGUAAAUUAGAAGGCUGUGUCAAGUCCAAAAAGUUCUUACUUGUCCUUGAUGACAUGUGGGAUGAUAUCUUGAAGGAUGAUGGGGUGGAAUGGAAGAGGUUUUGUGCGCCUUUGAAAAAUGGCGUUAAAGGAAGUAGGAUUUUGGUCACCACUAGAUCGCCCGAGGUUGCUAAGCUAGUUGGCCCUAUGAAUAAUUAUGAGUUAAAGGGCUUAAAAGACGGGGUAUUCUUGGAGUUCUUCAAAUUCUGUGCAUUUGGAUCCAGGACUUUGUGCAACAACAUGGAGUCGUUGGAGCGCAUUGGUGAAAUAAUUGUUCCAAAGUUGAAGGGUUCCCCAUUGGCUGCCAAGACUAUUGGACGCUUGCUGAGAAUGGAUCUAAGUACAACACAUUGGGGAAAUAUAAUGGAAAGUGAACUGUGGCGAUUAGAACAAACAGAGACUGACAUUCUGCCAGCGCUUCGACUGAGUUAUAUGUACCUCCCGCAGAAAUUGAAGAGAUGCUUCUCAAUCUGUGCAAUGUUUCCCAAGGAUUACAAAUUUGCGAAGGAUUUUCUAGCUGACAUUUGGAUUGCACUAGGAUAUGUCGAGUCAGCCCAAGAAGCAUCAAUGUGCUUUGAUGCCCUUGCAAAUCGUUCGUUCUUUCAGAAAGCGUCACCACAUAGUGUUAAGUAUGUAAUUCAUGAUCUGAUGCAUGAUACAGCACAACUAGUCUCAAAGAAUGAGUGCUUCAUUAUAAAGCAUGCUAGUGACCUAGAUAAAGUUCCUUCAAACGUCCGUCAUCUGUCAAUAUUCACGAAUGGAGAUGUUCAGUGUUCUGAAUUGAAGAGCAUAUGUAACAAGAAAAAUCUGAGGUCCCUGGUGUGCGAUGAAUCAUACAGCAAAGCAAAAGAUUUUGAGUCUACGAUGGACUGUUGGUUCAAGGAACUAUUGAAAAUCCGCGUAUUUAGUUGUAAACUCUCCAAAGUAAGACAGCUACCUGAGAGCAUGGGCAAUUCAAAGCAUAUGCGUCACCUUUGUUUACUUGGAAGUUCUAAUUUCAGCACAUUUCCUUCAUCAGUUUAUCGUCUGCAUCAUCUCGAAGUUAUAGACCGUGGCAGUUCUGUUAUUGAAAUGUUUCCCCCAGACUUCAGCGAUGCCAUCAGCUUGCGGAAAAUCAAGUCAAAGAAUUUUGCUUAUAACAAGGGCCACUCUGGCAAACUCUCGCUAGAAUGGUGUCCGCAAAGUCCAGAGACGGCGAAGAUGAUGGAAGUAUUGCCUCAUUGGAAUCUCCAUCAUUUGCAUGUAGAGAAUUAUAGAGGUGAAUCUUGUCCUAGCUGGCUCCAGCCCAACCUCCUGCCAAUGCUACGUUCCCUUGAAUUUCAUUGGUGUGAAGUGAAGAGCAUACCAUUCUUUGUCCCGUUAGAUGUGUCACUUGACAGUACAUCACCUUCAGAUAACAUUAAUCGUCUUGAAGAGUUAGUCAUACAGUAUUGUAAGCAAAUCAGUUGGGAAGGCCCGAUGCUCUUGCCUACUUCUCUUAGAAAGCUAACCCUUAUGAAGUACACGUACGAGUACUACAAUGAGUCAUCGGACGAGGAGAAUUAUGCAGAUGAAACGGCGAUGAUGCAGCUCGCGGGCUUAAGAAAAAGAGUGGCAAAAAACUUAGAAGACAAAGUUGGAUGGUCGGCUAAACGAAAGUUGAAGCAGUACGAGCAACCGUCGCUCCUCCUCCAAGAAAGAAAGUUAGGGUUCCUGCCUCUCGCCGGCGCGGCUGCAGGUCCACCUCGUCUCCGGUGGCCCUUGGGCCAUGGAGGCGCGGUGGAUCCUGGCAAGGGUGGCGGGAGGGCUCCGUUUUUAGUCAUUUUUUUUUCUGUCAUGUUAGGGUUUGUGUUCUGCUCAGGAAGGCGAGACGGCGGCGGCUCCCUGAAGAUGGAAUAAAGGUCUCCCCGCCUAGCCCUCGUUCCAGUGGUGCGUCUAGCAUCGUUGGUGGGCAUGUGGAGAUCUCGGACGACGCGGUUGAUCCCAGCGGCUCGUCUAUGCGGCAGCGCGCGGAGCUCGCAUGCGCUGCGAGGCGGACGAGCGUGGGGCUCGUCUCCGUGGUAGCUGGCGCCUGGCGUCCUAAAUCGAACGCCUGGACCAGGCUAAUCACAAUGCCGGAGUGUCCAAUCCAGGCAGACAAAGCUUCGCUUUCUUCUUCAGGACACCAACCAAACACCUUCCAGGCAGAACCUGGGAAGCUCCGGACGAGGCGCAAGACGUCCAUGACGCGAACCAAUCAGGCUUCUGGGAACUUUCCUCGAAAACGUUGGCGUUGGCGGGCAAGGUCGUGGCCGUUGUCGUCUUCUUCCCCUGUCCCAUCGUCCACGUAUCGGGUUGGUCCUCAUCCCAAAGGACUGAUGAAGCUAGCGGCGAAGAUUCGUGUGGCCACCCAUCCAUUCAUUCCUCAUCCUCAAGUGUUAAUGGAACUACCGGUGAAAAUUCAUGUGGCCGCCAAUCCGUUCAUUGACCCCCAGUCGUCUGCACUACACCUAGAGGGGUAGAGACCAGACCACACAGCGCCUGACCCUCCUGGCGGAGCUCCUUCUUCGGGCAACCAAACGCGAGAGGGCUAGAGAAGGGAGAAGCCCGGGUUUCCCCAUUGCCUCCGCUGUGGAGAGGUAUGUUGUCUUGUGCUACUGAAGCAUGUGCUGUGUUAAAUUGUAUACUUCAGGUAGGUGGUUACGAAGUAAUUUAAUGUCAAAAAAUUGUCUUAUAUUAUGGGAGAGUGGGAGACGGAGGAACUAAUUAUUAAACUGGGACCGUGUCUGGACCUAACAUCCUGAAAUUGUGAUCGAGGGUUUCCGUCCUAGGUUUGAUACUUUGAUAUGACCUGCUAGAUCUGGUAUGUCGAAGGACGCAGAUUUUUAGAGCACCUGCAGCCAGGCCCUACUAUCCUGGCUCUCCAAUAUCGCUUUAAGAUCUGUGUGAGACAAUCAUACAUGAAAUUUUCUCUUUUUUGUUUCUCUCAUAUGACAUGUCUUGCACUUCAAACUUUGCAACGCAACAAAACUUACUAAUUAGAAUGUGGGAUAAAAUAUUCAGAAUUUUUUGUCCAAUGUAAAUACUAAAAAUAAGAUUAUUUUUUUAAUUAAACAAAACUUAUUUUGUAUAUUUAUGUUGGACGAAAAAAAUCAAAAAGUUUUAUCCUAGAUUCUAGUUAGAAAACUUUGUUGUUCUGCAAAGGUUUGAACUUGAAGACAUGUUCUAUAUGAGAGAAACAAAAAAGAGAAAUGUACUUGCACGGAUCUUGAUGGAGAAUGGAAGGGUUGAUAAGAGGGGCCUGGGUUCAGGUGCUCCAAAACUUGUUUUCGGUUUAUCGGACCUAACCACUGAAAAAAAUAGCGCGCUAUAGCAUAUUGAGAAUUGUCUCGCUAAAUAUAUCGGUGUAUAAUGUCUCGCUAAUAGCACGCUAUAGCGCGAUAUAGCACGCUAAUAGCAUAUUUUGAGGUCGCCGCUAUUUUGCUGUAGCGCGCUAUUUUUUUCAUUGGACCUAACACGUCUGACUUGUUGGAGAUUUGCAGCAGCUGCUGCUGCUGUGACAUAUGUCGACACAUAUGGUUGUUUGCCUUGCCCCCUUGAUUGCAAACAAACAUAUCUCGGACAGGGCAGCAGCUAGCUACUUCCUUCAGUACAUCUCACGGACGAUGCAUAGAGCCGCUGCCCCCCUACAAAAAUUACAUCCCACAGAUCUACUGGACGGCAGAAACCUGGUUCCCAAACAUACUAUUGUGAAUACUCUGUGGAUGUGGUAGCUUAAAAAAUUGACAUUCUAUUGCGGGCCAUGCAUUUCAAGCAAGAACGAAAUCAAACAUUUGAUGUUCGAUGCCUUUGCCAAGGGGCUUCCUAGAAGAAUCACACUCACACCUCUAAUCCUGGAGGGUGGAUUUUCUGAUAUUUUAUAUUUCAGUAUCUCCUAUUUUUCUGUAGUUUUGUGAUAUAUUUGUCAUGUCAUCAUCUAUUAGGACAUGUAUACAGAGUGAUACCUUGUUGACCAUACAUAUUCUAAAUUUAUUCUUAAUUCUCCAAAAAUAAAGGAGACGGGAAACUUUAAACUGACUUGGCUUAUAUUCUCAUGAACUCUAAUAAUUUGUAUAUGCUAUGUAAGCUCAAUAUUCCAUUUAAAUAAGAUAGAAUGUAAUCAUGAAGAAAAUUUGCGCUACUCUGCGUUUUCAUUAAGGAGUAAUAGUGUUAUUGCCAUUGGGUUUUGCAUGCAUAACCUUUUGUUCAUACGUGACUGCCAAUCCUUGACAUUUAUUCCCCUGCGUGUGUGGAGAAGGAAUCUUCCAUCCCUGGAGGAACUAUAUAUUCACAGAUGUGGCAACCUUACAUCAAUAGUCUCGGAAGCAAGUAGUAGUAGCAGCGGGAGCAGCGGUGGCGUUCAAGGAUUCUCAUCCCUUGCUAAGAUAGAUAUUACAGGUUGCACUCAAUUAUUGAGCUUUGAUGAAUUUCUGAAGCCAGAUUGUCUACCUGCCGUGAAGAUCAUUGACGUUUCCAAUUACCUUUGUGAAGAGUUGAUGUCCCUCUCUGUUGAUAGGCUCGACGGGUUGCAAGAGCUGAAAAUUCAAUCAUGUCUUUUCAAGUUAAAUAUGAUAUUACCAUCCUCUCUUAAGAAGCUCGAUUUGGCUUGCUGUGACGGCAUAGAAUCCAUCAACCUCGCCAAUAGCCUGUUGGGAAGUUCUCCAGUACUUGAGGAACUUAGCAUUAUGUGGUGUCCAGGCCUCAAGUCCAUUGGUGGUGCAGCAGCUGUUGAUAAAAUAAAGAAAGUGAACAUAGUGGGGUGCCCCGAGCUCAUGGAAAUACAACAGCCUCUCUGUCGCUGCCUGGUUGGCACUGCUGAUGAUGAGAUCAGAACUUGGCACGGCAUACACGGGGAACAGGUUCCACCGGGCAUAUAGCGCACAGAGGUGGACGGCGGCGUCUUCGCAGAGGAGAAUGACGGCGGCUUGCGCGAGAACAUGCUGUUGGAGGAGCCCGAGGAUAACAAAUUAAGGUCAAUUUGAUGUUCCAAUGGCUUGCUAUCCUGUAUCAGUAAUACUACAUAGCAGCAGCACAGUUGCUUGCUAUCUGUCAAGGCAGAGUAGAAGUUGAGCCUUGAGUGAUGUCAUUUUGUGUGUACCUGUACUUAUAUUUCUCCACCGAAGCAUGUUUUUCGUGGAGAAAUUAUAAUUCCUGUUCCUAGUCUUGUCCUGGUAGAUCCAUGAAAGACGCAGCACCUGUUCGUCCUUUGCUAAUUCUUUGGUUAUUUAAAUGAAAUGGCAAACUAAAUAUAGUA